rnacentral:tRNA from 1 species
ACGAAAGAUUGACGAUUGGUAAGAAUCCACAACAAGUUGUUCUUCAUAGAUGUAUCUGAGGGUCUGUAGCUCAGUUGGUUAGAGCACACGCUUGAUAAGCGUGGGGUCACAAGUUCAAGUCUUGUCAGACCCACCAUGACUUUGACUGGUUGAAGUUAUAGAUAAAAGAUACAUGAUUGAUGAUGUAAGCUGGGGACUUAGCUUAGUUGGUAGAGCGCCUGCUUUGCACGCAGGAGGUCAGGAGUUCGACUCUCCUAGUCUCCACCAGAACUUAAGAUAAGUUCGGAUUACAGAAAUUAGUAAAUAAAGAUUGAGAUCUUGGUUUAUUAACUUCUGUGAUUUCAUUAUCACGGUAAUUAGUGUGAUCUGACGAAGACACAUUAACUCAUUAACAGAUUGGCAAAAUUGAGUCUGAAAUAAAUUGUUCACUCAAGAGUUUAGGUUAAGCAAUUAAUCUAGAUGAAUUGAGAACUAGCAAAUUAACUGAAUCAAGCGUUUUGGUAUGUGAAUUUAGAUUGAAGCUGUACAGUGCUUAAGUGCACAGUGCUCUAAACUGAAAUGUUGAAGUUACUAACUUGUAGGUAACAUCGACUGUUUGGGGUUGUAU